rnacentral:rRNA from 1 species
GUCUAUGGCCAUACCACCCUGAACGAGCCCAAUCUCGUCUGAUCUCGGAAGCUAAGCAGGGUCGGGCCUGGUUAGUACUUGGAUGGGAGAAAUGGAGCUGUGAGCA